rnacentral:misc_RNA from 1 species
AGUUGCAAGCUUUGGUAAGAAGGGGAACAUUCGUAUAUUGCACGAUUUUGAUCAGUCAUUCACUGGAGAGGCUGGUAUCAAGAUGAUCUCUAGUUUGACUUUUAAGCAAGAAAACACAAUAGCAGAGGAACCGAUGGUUGAUCUUUUGAAGUACUUGAAUAAUAUGCUUGAUGCCGCAGCUGCUAAUGCCCGGUUACCAUCUGGACACAAUCCGCUAGAGCAGCUUGUUUUGAUAAUAGCUGAUGGCUGGUUUCAUGAGAAGGAGAACAUGAAACGCUAUGUCAGAG